rnacentral:SRP_RNA from 1 species
GCCGGGCGCGGUGGCGGGCGCCUGUAGUCCCAGCUACUCGGGAGGCUGAGGCAGGAGAAUGGCGUGAACCCGGGAGGCGGAGCUUGCAGUGAGCCGAGAUCUGGCCACUGCACUCCAGCCUGGGUGACAGAGCAAGACUCUGUCUCAA